AACAAGUCGGAUUCGGGAAGGAUUUUCAAAACCCGAACCCGAACCCGACGGAUUUUAAAAUUUCAUAUCCAAAUCCGAAUCAGACCAAAAAUUUGAAACUCGAAUCCGAAAAUUUGAACCCGAAAUAAUAUUUUCUUUUUUCAAUAUUUUAAAAUAUAAUACAUUAAAUUUAAAAUUUUAAAAUAUAAAUUCAAAUAUAACAUUAAAUUUUUAUAUAUAUAUAUAUAAUACAGAAUAAAUUUGGAUUCAGGUUGGGUUCAGGUUCUGGUCGGGUACGGUUAAAAUCCAUAUCCGAAUUCAUAUCCGUCGGAUUUUAUUUAAAAAUAUUUAAAAUUUUAAAAAUAAAAAUAAAAAUAUUAUUUUUUAAAAAAAUAAUAUAUAAGUAAAAAAAUAUAAAAUUUUAAAAUAUAAAUUCAAAUAUAACAUUAAAUUUUUAUAUAUAUAUAUAUAAUACAGAAUAAAUUUGGAUUCAGAUCAGGUAUAGGUUUGGAGGGACAGUCAAAAUUUAUAUUCGAAUUUAUAUUCAUCGAAUUUUUAUUUUUGAUAUAUAUAUCAUAAUUCGUAUCCGUUUAGCAUGAAAUAUAUCUGCUUUAUUCGGAUUCGGAAUGGGAUAAAAUUUGGAGUAUCC
rnacentral:lncRNA from 1 species